rnacentral:rRNA from 1 species
AUUGAACGCUGGCGGCAGGCCUAACACAUGCAAGUCGAGCGGAUGAAGGGAGCUUGCUCCUGGAUUCAGCGGCGGACGGGUGAGUAAUGCCUAGGAAUCUGCCUGGUAGUGGGGGAUAACGUCCGGAAACGGGCGCUAAUACCGCAUACGUCCUGAGGGAGAGAGUGGGGGAUCUUCGGACCUCACGCUAUCAGAUGAGCCUAGGUCGGAUUAGCUAGUUGGUGGGGUAAAGGCCUACCAAGGCGACGAUCCGUAACUGGUCUGAGGGGAUGAUCAGUCACACUGGAACUGAGACACGGUCCAGACUCCUACGGGAAGCAGCAGUGGGGAAUAUUGGACAAUGGGCGAAAGCCUGAUCCAGCCAUGCCGCGUGUGUGAAGAAGGUCUUCGGAUUGUAAAGCACUUUAAGUUGGGAGGAAGGGCAGUAAGUUAAUACCUUGCUGUUUUGACGUUACCAACAGAAUAAGCACCGGCUAACUUCGUG